UACAGAGGUCCCAAGCGUUGUUCGGAUUCACUGGGCGUAAAUGGUGCGUAGGCGGUCGGGUAAGUCUGGCGUGAAAUCUCCAAGCCUAACUUGGAAACUGCGUUGGAUACUAUCCGGCUCGAGGAAUGGAGGGGAGACUGGAAUACUUGGUGUAGCAGUGAAAUGCGUAGAUAUCAAGUGGAACACCAGUGGCGAAGGCGAGUCUCUGGACAUUUCCUGACGCUGAGACGCGAAAGCGUGGGGAGCGAACAGG
rnacentral:rRNA from 1 species